UGGGGAAUUUUGGACAAUGGGGGCAACCCUGAUCCAGCCAUCCCGCGUGUGCGAUGAAGGCCUUCGGGUUGUAAAGCACUUUUGGCAGGGAAGAAACAGCCUGGGAUAAUACCCCGGGCGACUGACGGUACCUGCAGAAUAAGCACCGGCUAACUACGUGCCAGCAGCCGCGGUAAUACGUAGGGUGCAAGCGUUGAUCGGAAUUACUGGGCGUAAAGCGUGCGCAGGCGGUUCGGAAAGAAAGGUGUGAAAUCCCAGGGCUUAACCUUGGAACUGCACUUUUAACUACCGAGCUAGAGUACGUCAGAGGGGGGUAGAAUUCCACGUGUAGCAGUGAAAUGCGUAGAGAUGUGGAGGAAUACCGAUGGCGAAGGCAGCCCCCUGGGAUGAUACUGACGCUCAUGCACGAAAGCGUGGGGAGCAAACAGGAUUAGAUACCCUGGUAGUCCACGCCCUAAACGAUGUCAACUAGUUGUUGGGGAUUCAUUUCCCU
rnacentral:rRNA from 1 species